CUGCCGCUCACCAAAUCAAAUCUGAAACAAAAAUCAAGCGAUUCAGUAAGAUGUGAUCUCCAAACUCCAUCAUCCCAUUUGUAAGUGUUUCUGAAAUUUGUAGUUUGAUUCUAAUUUCAAGCCUAUGAUUCAUCUUCUUUGGUAUUAGAAAAAUGAUUGAAUUAGAAAAUGAUGAUGAACCAGAUUUCACAUCUGGAUCUCUAGGUUGUUCUGUUCAUAUGCUUAUUAGGUCUCCUUGUAAUGGUUGCUUAUGGAUUUAUAAUGCAAUCAACAUGAUAAGGUUUCUUUGUUUUUGGAACCCAUCCACUAAAGAAUACAAUCAACAAAAUAUCAUGGAUAUGCACAGAAUGGCAUUGGAUUAAUUUAAUUUGGGUUGUAGAAAUAACUUGCAGAGAUGAAGAUGGUUGAGGUUUUAAAAAAUGUUAUGGGAAGGGAAGAGUCCGACAAAAAGUCAUUAUUUCAGUUAGUAACAUUUGAGGAUAAAUCCAUAACUGAUACGAGGGCUUAUGACUAUCUCCAGCGCUUAAAAGGCAAGUAUAAUGAUUAUGUGAAUAAUGGAAAAACUUAUUGGAAAAAAGGAAAAAUAGUGGAGUUAAGUCCCCUAACUAGAGCUUACUUCGCCAUUCUGGAACAUGUGAUUGGGCCUGAUGACACUAAAGAUAUUCAAAACCAGAUUAGAAAGGUGUUGGGAUGAAAAUUCAACAAUGAGAUGUGUUGUUUCGAAUUUGGAGAGGAGUGGAAAGGAAAGUUCAAUAUUGGGAUGUGUAGAAUUGCAUAAUUCUGAAAAGAUAGAUUCCGAAGCGCGGGGUUUGCAGAAUCAAGUUACUCAAAGUGGUGAAAAGCAAAGAGAUAAAUAUAACAUGAGCAAACUUAAUGCUGAAACCAGCAGCCGUAGGAGGACGGAUUCUCCUUUGUAUGAUGUUGGCAUCAAUAAACAUCAUGAAUCCGAGUCUGGAUUUCCCAAAUACCCUUCUGCGAAGGUUUCUUCUCGAUGUCUACAUUUAUCAAGUGGGGGUGAAAAUGUUGACGAAGGGAAAGGUUGGGGCUUUCGCGCGGAGAGACGAUUUCAAGAGCAAUUGGAAACGAGUAAGAAGCCUUUUGUAAACUUGGUUUCAGAUAAUGAUUCAAAACUUCUCUUGGCGACUUUAUGGAUAUAUUAAAUGGAAGUUUGAGGCUGAUAUGCUUUCUCCAUUUGAAGAGGAAAAACAUUGAAAUUCUAUUGCUGCAUUCUGGUCUAGUAGUGAAAACAACUCCUUCUUUUUCAAGGUAAAAAAAGUAGAAGAAGUUGUAUUUCACAGUUCGAGGAGAAUGCAUUUGUGGGAUGAUGAAAGCUAGUUAGGAAAUUGACUGUUGUAAUUUGGAAGAAGCUCGGAGUCUGGUCACCAAUUCAAGAAGCUCUACGUUGGCAUCAAGAUAUAACUGAGGUUUGCCUAAAUUGUCAUGAAGAGAAUGUUGCAUCAAGCUUACAUCAGUAUUUGUUGAACUGUUGGCGGCACAAAGAAUGUGAAAGUAGCAGCACACAGUUUGUUUCAGGAAUGCUGCAAACUAUCCUGCUUUUGGCUUCAGUCAGCUGGUCUUCCUAGAGAAAUGGUGCAAAUUGAAAUGUGUGUUUCUUAAAGAGAAGCUUUUUCUGGAGCAACAGUUUAUAGUUUCUCUUUUGCAAAAUAGAAAAGUACUAGUCUUGGUAUAAGAGAUAGUCCGCCGGAAGAUAUACUGCGAUUCCUGUACAGCACGGCUUCUGCAAUUUGUAGUUCGUGAGCGUCAAUCACUUCUUUCACAAACACAACCUGGGUCCACUUACAUCCCUGCAAUUGUUAAUUUGUUAUUGCACGAGUUCUUAACGAUAAAAGAAACGAACCCCAAAAGAUGCUGGUUAUCCACAUGGAAGCUCUCUGUCCUCUGUGGAGUUUACAAUGAGUGCACCUGCAAGCAGUUUUGCAACUUCCACAUUAAGCGGUUCUAUUUGACCAGCUAGCAGCAUAAAUGAUAUCGCUCCUGCAAAAUGAGUUAUUGAUCUAUUUGUCAUUGUCUCUGUGGUAGAUUUAAGUUUAAACUAUAACCAUAGGAACACUGAUUUUUGGUUUUAGAGGUGUGUAGGUACAUGGUAUAGUUGUUUGCUUGGAGGGAUUAUUAAGAGAGGUCAUCAUCCUCUUACUAUCACUUUCACUACACCGAUUAAAGGGUUGUGCCUACAAGGAAAGGUUGAUUCUGCGUUCAAAGUGUUUGCUAAAAUGACUCAAACAGGUAUUCAAACUACUGUGGUUACAUGUACUACACUGAUUCAGGGUCUUUGUGAAACUGGUGAAGUGGUCUUGCUCUUCAGAUCAAAAACAAGAUGUUGAAAUGGAACUGAAGACCAGAUGUUGUUUCGAAUUCUGUCCUCAUAGAUGCACUUUGUAAAGGAGGUUUAGUUGAAGCUUUGGUUCUCUUCUCUGAAGUGCACAGAGAUUGGAAUGUUGUAACUGAUGUAGUUGUUUACACUUGUUUGAUUGAUGGACUUUGCAAUUCAUGCCGGUUGAAUGAGGCAGAGAGACUCUUUGACGAGAUGAUUGACAUGGGAAGGUGUACAGCAGUUCUUCAAGGCUGACUCCUCAGAUAAGCAGGUUGUGGUGUUUUCAGCCACACUCAGCAAGGAAAUCUGUCCCUCUGCAAGAAAUAAUGCAAGAUGUAAUGUCAUGUUUCUGAAGCUGCUUUCUGAGACCUGUUUUUUGUAGCUAUGUUAUUUCAUACAGGCAAGAUCUUAAAAGUUGUCAUCAGUGCACUCCACUUCAUGCAUUGUGUUAUGCGCCUGGCUAGCUUCUGGAAGCUUUUGGGGUAUUGGUGUCAGAGUAUUUGUAGACCUUGUC